GGUUAAGCGACUAAGCGUACACGGUGGAUGCCCUGGCAGUCAGAGGCGAUGAAGGACGUGCUAAUCUGCGAUAAGCGUCGGUAAGGUGAUAUGAACCGUUAUAACCGGCGAUUUCCGAAUGGGGAAACCCAGUGUGUUUCGACACACUAUCAUUAACUGAAUCCAUAGGUUAAUGAGGCGAACCGGGGGAACUGAAACAUCUAAGUACCCCGAGGAAAAGAAAUCAACCGAGAUUCCCCCAGUAGCGGCGAGCGAACGGGGAGCAGCCCAGAGCCUGAAUCAGUGUGUGUGUUAGUGGAAGCGUCUGGAAAGGCGCGCGAUACAGGGUGACAGCCCCGUACACAAAAAUGCACAUAUUGUGAGCUCGAUGAGUAGGGCGGGACACGUGGUAUCCUGUCUGAAUAUGGGGGGACCAUCCUCCAAGGCUAAAUACUCCUGACUGACCGAUAGUGAACCAGUACCGUGAGGGAAAGGCGAAAAGAACCCCGGCGAGGGGAGUGAAAAAGAACCUGAAACCGUGUACGUACAAGCAGUGGGAGCACGCUUAGGCGUGUGACUGCGUACCUUUUGUAUAAUGGGUCAGCGACUUA
rnacentral:rRNA from 1 species